UUUUUCCUAUCGUUGGCUAUGAUAAUUAUUAAAUACCAAAUAUAAAUAAACACCGUUCUGUAAGAACUUAGGCUUUUAGAGUACAACGAUUAUUUCACAUAUCAGAGUAGGAGAUUCUGAGUUCAGUUAUGCUAGACUCUGAAUAUUAUUAAUUUUCUUUCAUUUAAUUCAGGUCUACGUCAUGAGUUUUGCAAAAAAUCUCGAGUCCAGAUGUGAGGAAAAGUUUAAAUACAAAAGUAUAUAAACACUGUUCUCUAAUGGCUUAAGUUUUUAGAAUACAACAGUUGUUUUACAAUAACUAAGCAUUAGGAGUGUAGAAUAGAGUGAACUUACUUUCGAUUUUUAUACUCUUUUUUUUUUCCAUAU
rnacentral:lncRNA from 1 species